ensembl:lncRNA
UCAAAAUCCUUUUUCCACCUGCAAUUUAAUAAACUGCAGUUCAAAAUCCUUUUUCCACCUGCAAUUUAAUAAACUGCAGUUCAAAAUCCCUUUUCCACUUGCAAUUUAAUAAACUGCAUUUUAAAAUCCUUUUUUCAGUUGCAAUUUAAUAAACUGCAGUUCAAAAUCCUUUUUCCACUUGCAAUUUAAUAAACUGCAGUUCAAAAUCCUUUUUCCACUUGCAAUUUAAUAAACUGCAGUUCAAAAUCCUUUUUCCACCUGCAAUUUAAUAAACUGCAGUUCAAAAUCCCUUUUCCACUUGCAAUUUAAUAAACUGCAGUUCAAAAUCCAUUUCCCUUUCCUGUUCGCUCCUGGAUUAGUUGCUGGAUUAGCUCUUCGAUUAACAAUUUGCUGGAGGCUAUUCAAAUUAGCCACACCGUGGGAUGUAAGGAGCUCUCUGAUUGGUUGGUCGGACACAGGCUGUCUGCCAGCCUGGAUUUUUCUAGCUCAUAGCUUCUCCCUGCUAGGAAGCGUGUGUGCUUGUACAAAGGCCGUUCAGCGUCGGGAUUUACACUCGGCUCGACAAGGAUAAGUGAAGAAUGAAGGGACCCUGCAGCGAAACGGAGAGCCAACCUCUGACUGAGUGCCUGUUUACACAUUCUGACCACCUGUUGAAGGGCUGUUUGAUGACGAUUUGGACUCCUCUGGGAGAUGAGGACACACCCACAUCUGUUCCAUACUGCAGCCAUUGAUGGUGUUACAGCUCUGAGUCAGCUUUGGGCCAUCAGACGCACACACUGGAAAACCAGCACCUGGACUUCAUGCAGGAGAGAUGACCUCAGUGAUGAUUGACUCUGCAUCCUCUACUUUACCUCUAAUCUCUUUCUUCUUUAACACACAAUUAAAAUCACUCCAAAAGAGUGUAAACUUACUGAGGAAGUCUCUAACUUGUACACAUUUGUACUUUUACUUGUUUUAUGAGUUAUUUUUAAGAAGAGUAAAGUUAUUCACAUAAAGUUGUUAUUCUUCUGUAUUUAUUCUUUUGUAUCAUGUACCACAGUCAUACUGAACUUUACAGACCUGGUGAAUUGGAGAAAACAAAGAUCACACACACAUAUCAUUCAGCUUCAGCAGUAUUUCUAUUCAUCUUAUGAAUUCCAGUCUAAUGUCAAUUCACUGAGUUCAGUUUUGGUCUUAAACUCCAGAGAAUACCACCUGGUUCAACAAUCUUUUUAUCUGAUUAUUGGCAAAAUGUUUUCUUCUGAAAGAAGAAAACAUUCUGAAAGAAGAAAACAUUUUGGGCUCAAUUUCAGCCUCAGGCAAAAUUGAGCCCAAAGAAACAACAAAGUUUAGUUCCUCUGGAUUUUCCAUGGAAAAUUGUUUUAUCACUCAUCCAGGUGACUUCUCCAGUGUCACGGAUGAGUGAUGAAUGUUUCUCCCACUGGAAACCAUUGUGUCCAGUUAAAGUCAAUCGACUUUUUUUAAGGAGAGUUGUUAGAUGCUGUGCUCAUGAGGACAAUGGGUUUUAACUUGCAGCACAACACAAAGCUGCCAUACUGGAUCAACGAUCAAAACACUUAAUUGAGCAGAAUUAAGGCAAAAUGUAAUAUCCUCAUAUGAUGACACAUCACACAUGACCCAGCAUUGUUCUAAGAAUGCAAACUUUCUUAUUGGAAGUUUCCACAGCUGCCAGAAAGGGACAGAUUUCUGGCUGGUCUUAAUGAGUGGUCGUUGCUCUCUCGUUUUCUCUGGAAUUGCUGCGCAGAGGAUGUAACACCCAUGAUAAGCGCUGAGGUGUGUCCUUGUCAGAAAUCAGCAAUACUCAGCUUCCAGGUAAGGAAAAGUGGAACCAGAAGAUAUUCAAAUGCAUCUCUCCACAGCUGCUGAUGAAUUCUACAAAAACAAAGUUUGUUAAAAACAUUUGCAGGUGAAUCACCACUGAUUUA